rnacentral:rRNA from 1 species
GACGAACGCUGGCGGCGUGCUUAACACAUGCAAGUCGAACGGAAAGGCCCUGCUUUUGUGGGGUGCUCGAGUGGCGAACGGGUGAGUAGCACGUGGGUAACCUGCCCUUGACUUUGGGAUAACUUCAGGAAACUGGGGCUAAUACCGGAUAGGAGCUCCUGCUGCAUGGUGGGGGUUGGAAAGUUUCGGCGGUUGGGGAUGGGCUCGCGGCUUAUCAGCUUGUUGGUGGGGUAGUGGCUUACCAAGGCUUUGACGGGUAGCCGGCCUGAGAGGGUGACCGGCCACAUUGGGACUGAGAUACGGCCCAGACUCCUACGGGAGGCAGCAGUGGGGAAUAUUGCACAAUGGGCGGAAGCCUGAUGCAGCAACGCCGCGUGCGGGAUGACGGCCUUCGGGUUGUAAACCGCUUUCGCCUGUGACGAAGCGUGAGUGACGGUAAUGGGUAAAGAAGCACCGGCUAACUACGUG